rnacentral:sRNA from 1 species
AGGUUGAUGGAAAGAAUACAAAAGACCAACAAUGGAAAGAUCAAUUGACCUUAAAAUUGUCCUACAAGGCCUGGCAACAGUCGGACAGAGAGUUGGACGUCGAUCAUUUCAUCCCUGGCUUAACUUUUACCAGACCACAAAUGUUCUUUAUUUCUUUUGCACAGACUCAUUGUGAGAAAGUGAGUGAGAGAGGAAUCCUGCAGUUCUACGUCAAUAAUGGGGCGAACCCAGCCAUACCUGGGA